CCUACGGGAGGCAGCAGUGGGGAAUAUUGCGCAAUGGGCGAGAGCCUGACGCAGCGACGCCGCGUGAGGGAUGACGGUCCUCGGAUCGUUAACCUCUGUUUGCAGGGAAGAAAGGUCACUGUGCUAAUCAGCAGUGUAUUGACGGUACCUGCAAAGGAAGCACCGGCUAACUCCGUGCCAGCAGCCGCGGUCAUACGGAGGGUGCGUGCGUUAAUCGGAAUUACUGGGCGUAAAGCGCUCGUAGGCGGUAUGUCAAGUCAAGUGUGAAAUCUCCAGGAUCAACGUUGGAAUUGCCGUUGAAACUGGCAAACUGGAGUACAGGAGAGGAGGGUGGAAUUCCAGGUGUA
rnacentral:rRNA from 1 species